AUUGAACGCUGGCGGCGUGCUUAACACAUGCAAGUCGAUCGGUAACGCGGGGGCAACCCUGGCGACGAGAGGCGGACGGGUGAGGAACGCUUGGGAAUCUGCCCUUCAGCGGGGGACAACCCGGGGAAACUCGGGCUAAUACCGCAUACGCUCCACGGAGGAAAGCCGGGGACCGCAAGGCCUGGCACUGAAGGAUGAGCCCAAGUCGGAUUAGCUAGUUGGCGGGGUAACGGCCCACCAAGGCGACGAUCUGUAGCGGGUCUGAGAGGAUGAUCCGCCACACUGGGACUGAGACACGGCCCAGACUCCUACGGGAGGCAGCAGUGGGGAAUAUUGGACAAUGGGCGGAAGCCUGAUCCAGCCAUGCCGCGUGUGUGAAGAAGGCCUUUUGGUUGUAAAGCACUUUAAGCGAGGAGGAGGCUACUAGUACUAAUACUACUGGAUAGUGGACGUUACUCGCAGAAUAAGCACCGGCUAACUCUGUGCCAGCCGCCGCAGUAAUAC
rnacentral:rRNA from 1 species